rnacentral:rRNA from 1 species
UGCAGUCGAACGAUGAAGCCCAGCUUGCUGGGUGGAUUAGUGGCGAACGGGUGAGUAACACGUGAGUAACCUGCCCUCGACUCCAGGAUAAGCCCGGGAAACUGGGUCUAAUACUGGAUAUUCAAUUUCCAUCGCAUGGUGGUUUUUGGAAAGGAUUCUGGUCGAGGAGGGACUCGCGGCCUAUCAGCUUGUUGGUGAGGUAAUGGCUCACCAAGGCGACGACGGGUAGCCGGCCUGAGAGGGUGACCGGCCACACUGGGACUGAGACACGGCCCAGACUCCUACGGGAGGCAGCAGUGGGGAAUAUUGCACAAUGGGCGAAAGCCUGAUGCAGCGACGCCGCGUGAGGGAUGACGGCCUUCGGGUUGUAAACCUCUUUCAGUAGGGAAGAAGCGAAAGUGACGGUACCUGCAGAAGAAGCGCCGGCUAACUACGUGCCAGCAGCCGCGGUAAUACGUAGGGCGCAAGCGUUAUCCGGAAUUAUUGGGCGUAAAGAGCUCGUAGGCGGUUUGUCGCGUCUGCCGUGAAAGUCCGGGGCUUAACUCCGGAUCUGCGGUGGGUACGGGCAGACUAGAGUGCUGUAGGGGAGACUGGAAUUCCUGGUGUAGCGGUGAAAUGCGCAGAUAUCAGGAGGAACACCGAUGGCGAAGGCAGGUCUCUGGGCAGUAACUGACGCUGAGGAGCGAAAGCAUGGGGAGCGAACAGGAUUAGAUACCCUGGUAGUCCAUGCCGUAAACGUUGGGCACUAGAUGUGGGGGACAUUCCACGUUCUCCGCGUCGUAGCUAACGCAUUAAGUGCCCCGCCUGGGGAGUACGGCCGCAAGGCUAAAACUCAAAGGAAUUGACGGGGGCCCGCACAAGCGGCGGAGCAUGCGGAUUAAUUCGAUGCAACGCGAAGAACCUUACCAAGGCUUGACAUGGACCGGAUCGGGCUAGAAAUAGUCUUUCCCUUCGGGGCUGGUUC